UCAACUCGAGUCCGCCGGAGGUGCUGGCCGCCGCUGCAUCACUCCCAGGUCACCGCCGCAAAGACAAUGGCUUGUGACUGGUGGACGCUCUUUUGGUCGCUGGUGCUGGUCGCAGCCGCGCUGACUUUCUUCUGGUGGCGCCACUACUCCAGGAGGUUCUCCAGAGCCGGGGUCCCGUACACGCCACCGCUGCCCGUGGUGGGGAACACCCUGGACGUGGUGCUCAACAGGAAGGCCAUGGCGGACGUAGUAGUCGACGCGUACAGACGCUUCGAACCUCACCCCUACGCUGGGUUCUACACUUUUGCGAAGUCUCUGGUCUUGCUGAGGGAUCCUGAUCUCAUCAGGUCCGUCACAGUCAAGGACUUUGACCACUUCACUGACCACGUGGACUUCAUGAACACCGACGAGGACACUCCAGUGCUACUGCGGAUGUUGUUUCUCAUGAAAGGAAAAGAAUGGCACGAAAUGCGGACGACACUAAGUCCUGCAUUCACAUCGAAGAAAAUGAGAAACAUGUUCGUGCUGAUAACAGAGAUAGGGCAGCAGAUGGUAGAUUACAUAACAAAGGAAUGUGACAAAGUCGAAGUUUCUUCUGGAGAAAAACAGGUAUUGACACUGGAGAUGAAGGACCUGUUCACACGUGUGACCAACGAUGUCAUUGCGACGACAGCGUUUGGAGUAAAGGUGGACUCUUUGGCAGAACCAAACAACACAUUCUACACAAUGGGCCGUGAGCUGACAACCAUCAAACCAGCGAUCGUAAUGGGAUACACGUUAGCUCCGAAACUUAUGCGGUUAUUAGGUGCAAAGUUCAUUGACGCGAAAAUAGUGGAGUUCUUCAGGACCAUGUUGACCGAGACUAUGAAAGCGCGAGAGGAGCAGGGCAUCGUGCGCCACGACAUGAUCCACCUCAUGAUGCAGGCCCGCCGCGGAGAGCUGGCGCCUGAGGAAGGGGAGGCGAACGGCGCCAGCCAGAGCAAGGGGCGGCACCUCACUGAUGAUGAUAUCACGGCGCAGACGAUCAUAUUUUUCUUCGGCGGCUUCGACACCGUGUCGACACUGCUGACCUUCUGCAGCUACCUACUGGCCACGCACGAGGAUGUGCAGCGGCGGCUGCAGAGGGAGGUGGACCAGCUGAUGCAGAAGAGCGCGGGGCAGCCCAGCUACGAGCAGGUCCUGGGCUGCCAGUACCUCGACAUGGUGCUCUCUGAGACGCUACGCAUGUACCCGCCUAUCCCGGCCCUGGACCGCACGUGCGUGCGCCCCUACAGGCUGCAGGCCGCUGGGAGCUGCCCUGGCCUCCAGCUGCGGCCCGGAGACGGCGUCUGGAUCCCCGUGCGCGGCAUCCACCACGAUCCCAAGUACUUCCCAGACCCGGAACGUUUCGACCCCGAGCGCUUUAGUCCGGAGAGGAAGCAUCUCAUCAAGCCGUUCACCUACUUCCCGUUCGGGUCUGGACCUCGCAUUUGCAUUGCCCAGAGAUUCGCGCUGAUGGAGUCCAAGGUGGUGCUCGUCCAGCUGCUGUCCAGGUUCAGCCUCCAGGCGGUCGCCAAGACGCCGGUGCCGCUCAGACUCCAGCCGGACAGCACCACACUCUCCGUCAAGGGCGGCGCCUGGCUCGGGAUCCGAAGCAGGGUCUAGGCCAGCGCCCCAGCCGCUCCUCACGACACAAACGUUACUCGCACAUGUAAAAAGUACUGUGCCUGUGAAAUCGUACAUGUCACAGCAAAACGGUUGCUACAUCACAGACUGAUUUUUGGUCUCGUGGAACCGAAUAUUUUUUCGACUCAUCAGCCACAUUCUUAGCUGUUUUGUCUUUAGCAGGAACAGCCCAGACAAAUUUCGAAAAUACGUCGUUAACAGUCAAUAAAUAUUUAUAUCCUUUGUUUAUUUUAGAUAUUCAUUUCAACUUCCCUGAUUCCAUGUCUAUUAAGUCGGCUUGCCAUAAAUAAUAUAUACCGAGAGAAAUUACAUUUCUUCAUGUAAAAUUCUUUUUCAUUAGUUUAUGUAAUUCAUUAUUAAUUUCUUCAAGAAAAUUAUAUAGACCUUUGCCUACAAUUUUUUUGACGAAUUUACUUUUCUUCUUUUUACAAACUGUGUAAAGUCUGUUUUUAAUCUAUAUGGAUUAUGUGUAUCAGUAAAUUUUUACACUUCAAGCAAUAAAUGUGAUAGUCAUGCAAAGUGUAGUUGUUCAUUUAUAUAGAUAAAAAAUUUAAUUAAGUUUAAAUUAAUCUAAUGUUUCCAAUACUUCUAGAUCAUUACCUACUUUUUUGUCCAAGCACUUUUAUAUUUGGAUUCUGAUGAUUUAACAUAACUUUCUACAGAAUCAAUUUUAUUUAAAGCAUUAAUAAGAUUUCUUUUAAAAUCGUUUAUUUCUUUAUUAUUAUGUGUCAUAAUACCAUCUAUAAUACUAUUUCUUUUCUUUAAGUCUAAAAGAAACUUGUUAUAUUCUUCUUUAUUAAUAUAGAUAUUAAAUUGCAUUAAAACACUUGUGUGUUCUGGUUUUAUAAAAAUUUUUAUAGUAUAUUAACAAAAUAAUGUUUGUUAGCUACAUCUUUUCCAUCAAUUGGAUCAUUUACAUUAGCAAGUCUUCUGCCUUUAAAACCAAUAUAACCUUUAGUUAGCUUAAAAAUAGCAUUAAAUUCUUUUUGAAAUUGUUUAAUUGCAUUAGUUCUCUUUGGAUCAAAUUGUUUAAUCAAAUUUCCAAUUUUUCUUAAUCGAAUGUAGAUGUAUUAACUACAUGUUCACUUUGAUGUAUCUUAUUUCCAAAAAUGUCCAUUUAUUAAAUCUAAAACAUCAUUAAAUUAUAAUAUUCACAAAGCAAUUUUCUGUAUCGUAAAUAAUUCGAUUUUUCCUAAGUAGUUAAAUAAUUGUUUUGGUAUAUUACCACCAACUGAAUCAGAAACAACUAUUUUAUUUUUUAUUUUGUAAUAACAAAUGCAGUGUGUACCAGGAUUAUCAGAUGUAUAUAAAUUUACUAUACCAUAUUCAGCUUUAAAUGGCUUAUUUUGUAAUUCAUUAAUCAUAUAUAAACCACAAAAAUGUUUAAUUUUUAGUUGUUUAGUAAGUUCCUCUAUAUCAAAAUUACUUAAUACAACAGGAUAUUUAUUAAUUACUUUUUCGAAUUUUUUUUUAUUUCAGUUCCUGCUUUCUUUUCCAAU